rnacentral:rRNA from 1 species
GAUGAACGCUAGCGGAAGGCAUAAUACAUGCAAGUCGAACGGAUGUAACAAUACAUUAGUGGCGCACGGGUGCGUAACGCGUAUGCAACCUACCUUCAUCAGGGGGAUAACUACCCGAAAGGGUGGCUAACACCGCAUAAUACUAUUGAGUGGCAUCACUUGAUAUUUAAAUCUGAGGAGGAUGAAGAUGGGCAUGCGUCUGAUUAGCUAGUUGGUGUGGUAACGGCGCACCAAGGUGACGAUCAGUAGGGGAACUGAGAGGUUGGUCCCCCACACUGGCACUGAGAUACGGGCCAGACUCCUACGGGAGGCAGCAGUAGGGAAUAUUGGUCAAUGGUGGGAACACUGAACCAGCCAUUCCGCGUGCAGGAAGAACGGUCUCUGACUUGCAAACUGCUUUAGCAAGGGAAGAAAAAGCUCAUGCGUGAGAAAUUGACGGUGCCUUGAGAAUAAGCACCGGCUAACUACGUGCCAGCCGCCGCGGUAAUAC